rnacentral:ncRNA from 1 species
CAAAAGUUGAGACCAGAAACAACUUUAAAAAACGGGGCGAAAUCCGAAAAGCCAUAUGAGUAGGAAAAUAU